AGGUUCCCCGGCGACGGGGAUGAAAAGGGAACUCAGGUGCGAAACCUGGGCUGCCCCCGCAACUGUAAGCGGCGAGCCCGCGCGUCAUUAGCCACUGGAUGGCGGCCUGCAAAGGCCGGGGUCUGGGAAGGCGACGCGCACCGGCAUUGACCCGUGAGCCAGGAGACCUGCCCGUCGC
rnacentral:ncRNA from 1 species